rnacentral:rRNA from 1 species
CAGUAGCCGCGGGAAUACAGAGGGUGCGAGCGUUAAUAGGAUUUACUGGGCGUAAAGCGUGCGUAGGCGGCUUUUUAAGUCGGAUGUGAAAUCCCUGAGCUUAACUUAGGAAUUGCAUUCGAUACUGGGAAGCUAGAGUAUGGGAGAGGAUGGUAGAAUUCCAGGUGUAGCGGUGAAAUGCGUAGAGAUCUGGAGGAAUACCGAUGGCGAAGGCAGCCAUCUGGCCUAAUACUGACGCUGAGGUACGAAAGCAUGGGGAGCAAACAGGAUUAGAUACCCGCGUAGUCCCUGUCUCUUAUAC